ACACUUACCCGGCAGGGGAGAUACCAUGAUCACGCAGGUGUUUUACCCAGGGUGCGGUUUAUCCAUGGCGCGCCGGGUGUGCUUGACCCCCGCGACUUCCCCAAACGUGGGGAAAAGUCAACUACAGAAUUCGUGGUAGUGGAGUCACACUGCAUUCACACUCCC